rnacentral:rRNA from 1 species
CCUACGGGCGGCUGCAGUAGGGAAUAUUGCUCAAUGGGGGAAACCCUGAAGCAGCAACGCCGCGUGGAGGAUGAAGGUUUUCGGAUUGUAAACUCCUUUUGUUAGAGAAGAUAAUGACGGUAUCUAACGAAUAAGCACCGGCUAACUCCGUGCCAGCAGCCGCGGUAAUACGGAGGGUGCAAGCGUUACUCGGAGUCACUGGGCGUAAAGGGCGCGUAGGCGGGAUAGCAAGUCAGAUGUGAAAUCCUAUGGCUUAACCAUAGGACUGCAUUUGAAACUGGUAUUCUAGAGUAUGGGAGAGGUAGGUGGAAUUCUUGGUGUAGGGGUAAAAUCCGUAGAGAUCAAGAGGAAUACUCAUUGCGAAGGCGACCUGCUAGAACAUAACUGACGCUGAGGCGCGAAAGCGUGGGGAGCAAACAGGAUUAGAUACCCUUGUAGUC